AAAAAUUUAGUUAAAUUAAUAACAUCAAUUUGUCAAGUUGAAGUAAACUUAAAUGUUAAUUUUUA
rnacentral:tRNA from 1 species